CGCUGUUGACUUUCCUUCCACAAAUGGGAAUGAGUCUUUGCUAGUGUUUCCCCUCGGUGCAAAGCUGCACCGUGUGUCGGAGGGUAGACGCCGCACGCUGGCUUUGGCGCACAGAGUCCGCAGCGGGGAGGUAAACUCACGGCCUGAAGUUAAGAAAGUCAGCAGGCGGAUUGGGAAGCCUUCCUUUUGGACUCGGUCAAAGUGCCUACUUCAAGCCCAGGUUGCAUCUGCAGUGACAGCCGCUAACAGUUUCCAGAGCAGAGAAAAAAUUGGCAGUGCCCUCCUGGAAUGUUAGAAGAAGGAGGCAUCUCAUUUUCAUGGGAAGCAUCUUCUAAUAUCACCACUUCAGCAUUUCUGUUCCAAAGGCGCCCAAUUUGCAGCCCUCUGGGGUUAUUUGAGUCAUUCCAACUAUGGAAGAAAAGUAUGGAAGAAAUUCACGUGUGAUGGUCCACAGGUAUGAAAGGAAAGGAAAGAAUAAAACUCACAAAAGAUUCUUCU